UGGGGGUGGGUGGCUCAGGAGCCUCUUCCCGCCCCUGCGAGCGGGCCAGAGCAAGAAAAGGCAGCCGGCAGCGGAAUCCCCAGCCGUCGCCCCCGACUGCUGCUUUCUCCCCAAGCCUUUUAACUGCCGGGGAGGGCUGGGAGGCAGCAGCAGCUCAGGUGUCUGGCUGAUCUUGUGUCGUGACAGUCAGCUCCGGGGCCGGAGCAGCCGAGGGGAAGAGGCCUUUUGGUUUGCUUCCCCGCGAAACGGGGGUCUUUUGUUUUCCCUUUGUCCCUAGGUUCGUCCGGAAGCGUCCGUCGACAAGUCAAGGGGAGCGGAACCGAAGGUCGCUCGAGAUGUUACUUCGCCACGCGUGCCUCGUGCUUGCGAGUCGGACUGCUGACUACGGAGGGAUCCCUUUUGUAGCCGCCGAGGGCCCGCGAGGCUCCGUGUGCCCGCUGCUUCCGAGUGCUGCGCUGCGGCUCGGGCAACGGCCGGGGAGGAAUUGUCGGUCCCUCGUGGUAACGCAGCCGGGCCUGCUAGGCGCUUAAAGCAGCGCGUCCGGCCGGGCGGUAUUGUUUUCCGAGGCUGUAAAGGAGCCCGAGGUAUAAACCCGCUUUACGUUUCCGUACGGCGGUGCGCUUUGUCGGAGAGCUCGGCCGUACUGACGGAGCUGGCACAGGGUUCCCGCGGGACUCCGGCUUUGCCCGUCUCGUGGAAAGGCUCCAGAGCCUGCUUGGGAAGCCGCUUGACAAGGCACGGCUUUGCCGUGAUUUUUACGCCGGAAUUCCGACGGUAACGCCGAUGCCACGUGUUAGCCUUUCUCCAGCAGCUCUUCAAAGCAGAGUGAGCCUUAAGAAUCGGAUUGCCUUUUAACGAAAUUCGAAACAAAGCGGCGGGGUGAAGCGGCUGGAAGCGUCCUGCCAGUCUGCCGUGGGUAUCGCUGCCGUGCGUGUUACCUGCCUGUCUGCCGAUCGCUCCUGCCUCUUGUUGUGCCCCGGGCCUCGGCUGUUGCGUGCAGAGAAGCUGUCAGCCUUGUGAGAGAGCACACAGCCGGCAAGCGCAUCGUGGUGCUUCGGUACCGAGCUGAGACCGCAGGCUUCCGUCUUUUGUUUGCGGAAAGGGAUCGCGAGGAAAGGUGCUGACCUCGGAGGGGGAGAGGUGGCGGGGGAACAGGGGGCGUUCCCACAAGGCAGUGGUGUGGAGCCGAAGGGGACUGCGAUUGAACGGUGACGGAGCCGUUUGGACCGAGUCUUGAAGAUCUCUCGGGUUUUUGUCCGAGGAAACUUCGUCUCGAGACGGUCCUAUCGCUCGCUGGCAGCGUGGUAGGAAACUGCUUUGUUGAUCUUGACGGCGCAGUGUGUUGGGAGUAUUAAGAUUCCUCGAGAGAUCAGAAGCGAACUAGUUGAAUCGAGAAUGUUCGCUGCCAGAACUUCAUCCACCGAGAUGGGAAGCCAGGCAACUUCCUAACGGGCCGUGGGCAGAGUUCCCUUCUUGAUGCCAUGCCUAUAUAAUAAACUCUGCAGUCCGUUAGCUAGACGGGCUGCAGUACCCAAAUUUUUUCGCCAGGCGGCAGCACCGCGCCCCCCCAGGCGGAGUAAGGGCAGCGCAUGCGCAGACGCGGCUUGACGCCGAAGGGGGCGUGGCUUCCGGGCACGUCGCGGGCCGAUGACGCAAUCCGACUUCGGCGCAUGCGCAGAAGGGGUUUCUGGCAAAGUAAGGGCAGCGCAUGUGCAGACGCGGCUUGACGCCGAAGGGGGCGUGGCUUCCGGCCUCGGGGCAGACCGAUGACGCAACACGCCUCGACGCAUGCGCAGAAGGGCUUUCUGGCAAACUAAGGGCAGCGCAUGCGCAGACGCGGCUUGACGCCGAAGGGGGCGGGGCUUCCGGCCUCGGGCGUACGGGCAGAUGACGCAAUCCCGCUUUGGCGCAUGCGCAGAAGCCUUUCUGGCCUACCGAGGGCGGCGCAUGCGCAGAAGCGGCUUUGACCCCUAGGGGCGGGGCUUCCGGCCUCCGGCGUAAGGGCAUAUGUAGUACCCAAAUAUUUUUCGCUAGAUGGCAGCAGCGAUCCACCAACCGGGCCGGCUGCAGUACCCAAAUAUCUUUCGCUAGAUGGCAGCAGCGCUCCACCAACAGGGCCGGA